rnacentral:rRNA from 1 species
UGGGGAAUAUUGCACAAUGGGGGAAACCCUGAUGCAGCAACGCCGCGUGAAGGAUGAAGGUUUUCGGAUCGUAAACUUCUUUGAUUGGGGACGAACAAUGACGGUACCCAAAAAACAAGCCACGGCUAACUACGUGCCAGCAGCCGCGGUAAUACGUAGGUGGCGAGCGUUGUCCGGAAUUACUGGGUGUAAAGGGCGUGUAGGCGGGGAUGUAAGUCAGAUGUGAAAUUCCAUGGCUUAACUGUGGCGCUGCAUCUGAAACUAUAUCUCUUGAGUGAUGGAGAGGAAAGUGGAAUUCCUAGUGUAGCGGUGAAAUGCGUAGAUAUUAGGAGGAACACCAGUGGCGAAGGCGACUUUCUGGACAUUAACUGACGCUGGGGCGCGAAAGCGUGGGGAGCAAACAGG